rnacentral:lncRNA from 1 species
CUGGUAUUUGCUGGAUGACCAUGAACUAACCAUUCAAUUUCUUGAGACUUGGGUUUCUCGUCUGUAAAAUGAACAUAUGCAAAUCUAUCCUACAAACUGUGUUUUGUGGAUUGAAUGAGAUGAUGCACGCCCACCCAGUGCCUUGAUCAACCUUAAAGUGCUGCACAAGUGUGAGGGGAGAUGGAUCCUUGAAGAAGACAGACAAGCAGAGGGGAAAGAUCUUGGAAGAGUUUCACAAUAUGCUGAACUUUAUUCCUGGAUCAGAUACAGAGCUGUCCGGGUGUCCACAGGGCCAGGGCUGUUGCAGAUAUAACUGGUGAAGUUGAGGUCAUGCUGGAGUAGGAUGGGCCUUGAAUCCAAUAGGACCGGUGUCGUUAUAAGAGAGGAGAUGGACACAUGAAGACAGAGACAUACGGGGAUCAGACAGUCAUGGGCGGUGGAGGAAGAGAGUGCGGCGACGCAUCUCGGAGCCACAGGACACCUAGAAUGGCCGGCAGCCGGUGGGAGCCGGGAGAGGCAAGGACGGAUCCUCUCCUCCCGGCUUCAGAGGGAGCCCGGCCCUGACCACACCUCGAUCUCAGACUCUGACCUCCAGAACUGCGAGAGAAGAAAUCUCAGUUGUUUUAAUGUAUGCAGCUUGUGGCACUUUGUGACAGCAGAUACAGCAGUACUGUGACAACACUAGGAAACGAAUACACCACCCCAGCAUCUCCGCUCUGUUUUCCAUACAGAAUUGAACUAAGGACCAGGCAAGCUAAUGCAAGUCCAAACACUGUAAAAACUUUGGAGGCAAUCUAAGGAUGUG